CCAGCAGUCGCGGUUAGACGAAUAAUACAAGUAAAUUUUAUUAGAUUGAGUUAAACUUAAAUAUUUAUUUAUUGUUUAUAAAUUUGUUGGGUGAAAUCUUAAAUUUAUUUUAGUAAUUAUUUUAUUUGUUGAGGCUUGGAAAUUUUAAAUAAAAACUAGGAUUAGAUACCCUAUUAUUUUUAAUGAUAUUGUAUUCUUAGGUAGUAGUAGUUAUGUUCUUGAAACUUAAAAAAUUUGGCGGUAUCUUAGUCUAUCCAGAGGAACCUGUUCUGUAAUCGAUAAUCCACGUUGGACCUUACUUAAUAAUGUAUUCAGUUUAUAUACCGUCGUUAUAAGAAUAUUUUAUUAGAAUAAUAAUUUUCUUAAAUUUUAAUUAAAAUUUAUAUCAGAUCAAGGUGUAGCUAAUGAUUAAGUAGAAAUGGGUUACAAUAAAUUUAUUUAUACGGAUUAAAAUAUGAAAAAUUUUUUGAAGGUGGAUUUGGUAGUAAAGUUAAUUAUAGAGUUUAUUUGAUUUUAGCUCUAAGAUAUG
rnacentral:rRNA from 1 species